rnacentral:rRNA from 1 species
GGGGGCUAGCGUUGCUCGGAAUUACUGGGCGUAAAGGGCGCGUAGGCGGACAGUUUAGUCAGAGGUGAAAGCCCAGGGCUCAACCUUGGAACUGCCUUUGAUACUGACUGUCUUGAGUUCGGGAGAGGUGAGUGGAAUGCCGAGUGUAGAGGUGAAAUUCGUAGAUAUUCGGCGGAACACCAGUGGCGAAGGCGACUCACUGGCCCGAUACUGACGCUGAGGCACGAAAGCGUGGGGAUCAAACAGG